rnacentral:lncRNA from 10 species
UUUUUUUUUUUUUUCAAUUUUUAGUUACUGCAACAGAGGCACAUAGGAAUUUAAAUGAUUCCAUGAGUCAUGCAGUGAAUUGGUAAUAAUACUAAUGGACACACAGUUAUUGACUCUUCUUUGCAUUGGCCUCAUUUUUCCCCCAAAUGUUAAUAUGUCAUUUCUCAGCAAAAUUAUUUGUAAAGUAAAACAUCUAACAACACCACCAAAAUCUUGUAACAGCAAAAGGAAGAGCUGAGCUUCUGAAGAUCAACCUUCGUGAGGUCGAAUUAGAUCCUGAUAUUCAACUGGAAGAUAUAGCCGAGAAGAUUGAGGGCUAUUCUGGUGCUGACAUCACUAAUGUUUGCAGGGAUGCCUCUUUAA